rnacentral:rRNA from 1 species
CCUACGGGUGGCAGCAGUCGAGAAUUUUUCUCAAUGGGCGAAAGCCUGAAGGAGCGACGCCGCGUGGGGGAUGAAUGGCUUCGGCCCGUAAACCCCUGUCAUUUGCGAACAAACCCUGACAUUUAAAAGAUGUCGGGCUGAUUGUAGCGGAAGAGGAAGGGACGGCUAACUCUGUGCCAGCAGCCGCGGUAAUACAGAGGUCCCAAGCGUUGUUCGGAUUCACUGGGCGUAAAGGGUGCGUAGGCGGCCAGAAAAGUUUGAUGUGAAAUCUCCGGGCUUAACCCGGAAAAUGCAUUGAAUACUGUCUGGCUUGAGGAUUGGAAGGGAGACUGGAAUGCUCGGUGUAGCAGUGAAAUGCGUAGAUAUCGAGCGGAACACCAGUGGCGAAGGCGAGUCUCUGGACAAUUCCUGACGCUGAGGCACGAAAGCCAGGGGAGCAAACGGGAUUAGAUACCCCUGUAGUC